rnacentral:rRNA from 1 species
GAACGCUGGCGGCGUGCCUAAUACAUGCAAGUCGAGCGAAUGGAUUAAGAGCUUGCUCUUAUGAAGUUAGCGGCGGACGGGUGAGUAACACGUGGGUAACCUGCCCAUAAGACUGGGAUAACUCCGGGAAACCGGGGCUAAUACCGGAUAAUAUUUUGAACUGCAUGGUUCGAAAUUGAAAGGCGGCUUCGGCUGUCACUUAUGGAUGGACCCGCGUCGCAUUAGCUAGUUGGUGAGGUAACGGCUCACCAAGGCAACGAUGCGUAGCCGACCUGAGAGGGUGAUCGGCCACACUGGGACUGAGACACGGCCCAGACUCCUACGGGAGGCAGCAGUAGGGAAUCUUCCGCAAUGGACGAAAGUCUGACGGAGCAACGCCGCGUGAGUGAUGAAGGCUUUCGGGUCGUAAAACUCUGUUGUUAGGGAAGAACAAGUGCUAGUUGAAUAAGCUGGCACCUUGACGGUACCUAACCAGAAAGCCACGGCUAACUACGUGCCAGCAGCCGCGGUAAUACGUAGGUGGCAAGCGUUAUCCGGAAUUAUUGGGCGUAAAGCGCGCGCAGGUGGUUUCUUGAGUCUGAUGUGAAAGCCCACGGCUCAACCGUGGAGGGUCAUUGGAAACUGGGAGACUUGAGUGCAGAAGAGGAAAGUGGAAUUCCAUGUGUAGCGGGUGAAAUGCGUAGAGAUAUGGAGGAACACCAGUGGCCAAGGCGACUUUCUGGUCUGUAACUGACACUGAGGCGCGAAAGCGUGGGGGAGCAAACAGGAUUAGAUCCCCUGGGUAGUCCACCCCGUAACGAU